CAGCAGCCACGGUAAUACAGAGGGUGCGAGCGUUAAUCGGAUUUACUGGGCGUAAAGCGUGCGUAGGCGGCUUCUUAAGUCGGAUGUGAAAUCCCUGAGCUUAACUUAGGAAUUGAAUUCGAUACUGGGAAGCUAGAGUAUGGGAGAGGAUGGUAGAAUUCCAGGUGUAGCGGUGAAAUGCGUAGAGAUCUGGAGGAAUACCGAUGGCGAAGGCAGCCAUCUGGCCUAAUACUGACGCUGAGGUACGAAAGCAUGGGGAGCAAACAGGAUUAGAUACCCGCGUAGUCCCUGUCUCUUAUAC
rnacentral:rRNA from 1 species